rnacentral:misc_RNA from 1 species
UGGAGCACAAGAAAGUGGUAGUUUCGGCCAUCACGAUCAAUCAUCAUGGCUGUUAUGAACACAUUGGCCCAACCUCUUAGGCACAACCCAAGAAUCAAAAUAAAAUUAGAAUUUGAGACUUCAAUUGAAUAUUUUUAUGUCAACAAAUCCUAUGCUUUUAAUGAACACAUCUAAAAUCACUAUAUCUUUAAAGACAGAGAGAAAGAAAAGAAAUCAAUCUAAACCUUUUUGGCUUUAUGGCUCCAAAUAAACUGGUAAGACUGCACUUCUUGAUGAUCCUCUGCUAUGACCAAAAGAAAAGAAUGUUCUUCUUGGUCUACCAGUACUACUACAACCUUCAAUGGGAGUGACCUCAGUAAUUACUUGCCUGCUCUGCUGAACAAUCUCUUGAAUUGAUAAGUACAGCUGCCGAUCUGCUGAUGAAUCCAUUGAAAAAGAUCUCCUUAUGGGUUGGAUUGCAAAUUGAUCAUCUUUACCUCUAAUGUCAAUACAUUCAUCACCCAUGCUAGUUAUCUUGUUAAAUUUUCUUGCUUUCUUGUGAAGAGCUGAUCCUUUCUGCUCUAGUUUCCUCCUUGGUGAAGGGCUAAUCGAACGUACUGAUAACUCCCCUGAAUUCAUCAAUCUGUCCUGUGCUGCAAGCAAUGUUUGAUCUGCAGAAUUAUGAUUACCCAAUUCAAUAACAACAUAAUCUUCAUCUCCACCAAUGACACUUUCGCUGUAAGGAUUUGGAUCUUGUGGGGAAGAGCUUGGAGCUAUAAUGUGAUCAAUAGGGAAUCUUGUAUUGGUGGUUGAAAUGCUGUUUCUGCAAAGUGGACAAUUAGCAUUAUUUUGAAGCCAAACAUCGAUACAAUCUAUAUGGAAAACAUGGCCACAAUUUGGUAUUAUCCUCAGCUUCUCAUCUUCUUGAAACUCGUUCAAGCAAACUGCACAUUCACAGAAGUUUCUUUCUCCAAAGUCUCUACUGAUCUUGCCUCCUUUCUUGAACUUGAAUAUUGGGAUUGACCUUAUCACUGACUCGUCCAGUCCACGAGUUUCCAUUGCAGGAGAGUAGCCCAUUAAAGGGUCUUCAUGAUUUCGGUUUCUUGAUAGAGAGAAUCGCCUGAGAAGAUCGAUGCGGUGCCAGUUGAGGCAGCAUUUGAUGACAAAGAUGUAAUAGCUAACUAGCAAGAAAGCUGUUGCUAAAAUUCCUAUGAUGGCUAUGGCUAUAAUGGGGAAACUUGUGUCUGAAGAAUGAGAAUGAGGGGCAAAGAUUGAGCUACCAGUAGGACUUGUGAUUGGGGGAAUAGAGCUUUUGCUUACAAGAUCCAUGAAAUGGAGCUUUUAGAUCUUGAACUAAUGUAAAACAACAUGCAAAUAAAUUAUGCAAGAACACCAAGGAAUACUAUAACCAAUUCUAUGAAAUAACUUGAAACACAGCGAAAUGAAAGAAACAGAAAACUAUUGGAGAAGAGAGAAAACCAACAUAUUAAUCAACAAUAAAGAAAGAUUUGAAAAGGGACAAAUGUAGACUCAAAAAAGAUGCAAGAACGUGGAGAAGAGAGGAAACCCAGGUGGUGUAAAUGAGGGAGGUGUCAAAUGGGGACAUGAAAGCCUUGAAAUUCAAUGAAAAUGUG